UGCCAGCCGCCGCGGUAAUACGAAUGGAGCAAGCGUUGUUCGGAAUCACUGGGCCUAAAGCGUGCGUAGGCGGAUAUGAAAGUCAGAAGUGAAAUCCCUGGGCUUAACCCAGGAACUGCAUUCGAUACUCCCGUGCUAGAGUAAUGGAGAGGGUAGUGGAAUUCCGGGUGUAGCGGUGAAAUGCGUAGAUAUCCGGAGGAACAUCAGUGGCGAAGGCGGCUGCCUGGCUCAAUACUGACACUGAGGUGCGAAAGCGUGGGGAGCAAACAGGAUUAGAUA
rnacentral:rRNA from 1 species